rnacentral:rRNA from 1 species
CAGUAGCCGCGGGAACACGUAGGUGGCAAGCGUUGUCCGGAAUUAUUGGGCGUAAAGGGCUCGCAGGCGGUUUCUUAAGUCUGAUGUGAAAGCCCCCGGCUCAACCGGGAGGGUCAUUGGAAACUGGGAAACUUGAGUGCAGAAGAGGAGAGUGGAAUUCCACGUGUAGCGGUGAAAUGCGUAGAGAUGUGGAGGAACACCAGUGGCGAAGGCGACUCUCUGGUCUGUAACUGGCGCUGAGGAGCGAAAGCGUGGGGAGCGAACAGGAUUAGAUACCCCAGUAGUCCCUGUCUCUUAUACA